rnacentral:tRNA from 1 species
GGAUCCUUAGCUCAGCUGGCAGAGCAACUGACUCUUAAUCAGUGGGUCUGGGGUUCGAAUCCCCAAGGAUCCACCA